UACGAAGGGGGCUAGCGUUGCUCGGAAUCACUGGGCGUAAAGGGUGCGUAGGCGGGUCUUUAAGUCAGGGGUGAAAUCCUGGAGCUCAACUCCAGAACUGCCUUUGAUACUGAGGAUCUUGAGUACGGGAGAGGUGAGUGGAACUGCGAGUGUAGAGGUGAAAUUCGUAGAUAUUCGCAAGAACACCAGUGGCGAAGGCGGCUCACUGGCCCGUUACUGACGCUGAGGCACGAAAGCGUGGGGAGCAAACGGG
rnacentral:rRNA from 1 species